UCUGACCCUGCUCGGAGUCCUGAGUCCAGUUCUGGGCACCCCAGCGGAAGAAGGAGAUGGACAAGCAGAGGAGGGCAGCCAAGAUUAUGAAGGGUCUGGAAACCAAGCCUGAUGAGGAACGGUUGAAGGAGUUGGGUAAGUUUAACCCGGAGAAGAGGAGACCGAGAGGAGAUAUUAUAAAAGGUAAAGGUAAAAUACCCUGACCAUUAAGUCCAGUUGCAGAUAACUCUGGGGUUGCGGCGCUCAUCUCGCUUUACUGGCCAAGGGAGCCAGCGUACAGCUUCCGGGUCAUGUGGCCAGCAGGACUAAGCCACUUCUGGCGAACCAGAGCAGCUCACGGAAACGCCGUUUACCUUCCCGCCGGAGUGGUACCUAUUUAUCUACUUGCACUUUGACGUGCUUUUGAACUGAUAGGUUGUCAGGAGCAGGGACCAAGCAACGGGAGCUCACCCCGUCGCGGGGAUUCGAACCACCGACCUUCUGAUCGGCAAGCCCUAGGCUCUGUGGUUUAACCCACAGCGCCAUCCACAGCCCUAGGAGAUAUGCUAGUCAUCUUCAAAUAUCUCAAGGGCUGUCACACAGAUGAUGAAGCAAGCUUGUUUUCUCUCUGGAGGGUAGGACUCGAACCCAGGGCUUCAAGUUACAAGAAAGGAGAUUCUGACUAGACAUGUGUCAGAGAUUUUUGUAGCUGUAACUGCAUUGAGGGGGUUGGACUAGAUGACCCUCCAAUUCUACAAUUCUGAGAAGCAGAAGAAUAGGCUACUGUCGUUCUCUGCACUAGGCAUGCAGACAAGUGUCCUACUUUACAGAGCACAGUCCUCUGCUUCAAGGUGUCCUCGAUUAGAUGGGGUUGUGUGGCCCCAAUUCAGCUUAAAUUAAAAAAUUAUCAUCGUUAAGGAGUCCUAAGUAGGGGAACCUUGUCAUUGCCCACCCACCAUGAAAUAGACCUAGCAGUCACACACAGAUCACCUGGUCUUCCCCACAAUGCCUUGCGCUUCCGUUUAAAUCACAGCAAUUAUUUCUACCCAUAUAAAUUAGCAUAUGCAGAUUUAAUACAAAUCUGAACCAGUUUUGGUCGGUGUUCCCCUGAAGUGGUUUCUCGUUUUACCUGCUUUGGGUUAAUUGCUCCCAGAUUCCACGCAGAUGCAGCCAAGUCCAGCGCCACCUAGUGACUCAAGCGUGGAAUGACACUUAUCCACCCAUUGCCGGCGGUUGCUUAGCAACGUGAGCCCUUUACUGACAGUCAUUUAGGCCGCCGUUUGCCAACCUGGUGCCCUCCUGCAGAUGCUUUGGACUACAACUCCCAUUAGCCCCAGCCAAGCUUGACCCGGGGGCCUUGUUUCUGAAGGCAGAUUUAGAUCUAAUGAGAUCACAGGGUGGGGAGCAAUCUUUUUUGGGGGGUGUGAUGAGAAGAAGCCAUUUUUUUUCUUCUGAGGGCCACUUUCCCUCAUGGGCAAAAAUACAGGGUGUAUAGAGCAGAGCUGGUGAGGGUUUUCGCCUGGUGAGAGUCGGAAGGGCCAGGUUGAGAGAACUGGAGGGCCGCAUUCGUCUCUUGGGGCCGAGAUGCCCCACAUUCCCCUUGCAGGAAAACUGUCAGGGCUGCCGGCCGCCAGUGAGUGGGGCUGCAGCCUGCGAUGGGUGGACCCAGAGCCAAAGGUGGGUGCAGGCACCCCUCUUCCUCGUUUGUGACAACCCAUUUCUCUCUCUUUCUAUCAGCCCUCCCCACCUCUCCCCCCUUGUUUGACAGGAAAGCGGCCAUCUCUCUUGCCAGAGCUCUGAGCUUAGGGCCACAUUUCCCCAUUCCUCUUUCCAUCGCUCCCUCGCAUGACGUUUGCCCGAGCGCCACAGAUUGGCCGCCUCUGUCUUGGACGAGAGUCCUUCACCUUUGGGCCCCCAGACAUUGGCGGACUGUUGUUGUUUAGUUGUUUAGUCGUGUCCGCCUCUUCGUGACCCCCUGGACCAGAGCACGCCAGGCACUCCUGUCUUCCACUGCCUCCCGCAGUUUGGUCAAGCUCAUGCUGGUAGCUUCGAGAACACUGUCCCACCAUCUCAUCCUCUGUCGUCCCCUUCUCCUUGUGCCCUCCGUCUUUCCCAACAUCAGGGUCUUUUCCAGGGAGUCUUCUCUUCUCCUGAGGUGGCCAAAGUCUUGGAGCCUCAGCUUCAGGAUCUGUCCUUCCAGUGAGCACUCAGGGCUGAUUUCCUUAAGGAUGGAUCGGUUUGAUCUUCUUGCAGUCCAUGGGACUCUCAAGAGUCUCCUCCAGCACCAUAAUUCAAAAGCAUCCAUUCUUCGGAGAUCAGCCUUCUUUAUGGUCCAGCUCUCACUUCCAUACAUCACUACUGGGAAAACCAGAGCUUUAACUAUAUGGACCUUUGUUGGCAAGGUGAUGUCUCUGCUUUUUAAGAUGUUGUCUAGUUUUGUCAUUGCUUUCCUCCCAAGAAGCCAUUGGCAGACUACAACUCCCAUUGUCCCCUUCCAGCGUAACCAAAAGUCAAGGGUGAUGGGAGUUGUAGUCUGCCAGUGUCUGGGCACUCAAGGCUGCUUUGGACUGUACAGGCAUUCUCACAAAUGCAUAUGCAUCUGGGUGCGAAUGCCAACAGGAGAUCAUGUUCCUAUUUUACUGUCUCCAACAAGGUUGGUUUGGUAUUCUGCUCAGUUCCAAAUUAUGAAUAUUUAGAUCUCAACAGGCCAAAGAGCACAGACCUUCACUUUCCAUCUCAUGGAGAAACACUACAUUGCCCAGUAACAGUUGGCCAUUGCUUAGUGGGAGAGCAACUGCCUUGCAGCUGGAAUGUCCUGGGUUCAAAUCCUGAUAGCAGGUAGGGCUGGAAGAGCUUCCUUUUCAGAAAUGCUUCCAGUACAUUUCUGAGCACAAUUCAAAGUGACCUUUAAGGCCCUAAAUGGCCUCGGUCCAGUAUAUCUGAAGGAGUGUCUCCACCCCCAUCGUUCUACCCGGACACUGAGGUCCAACGCCGAGAGCCUUCUGGCGGUUCCCUCACUACAAGAAGCCAAAUUACAGGGAACCAGGCAGAGGGCCUUCUCGGUGGUGGCACCCGCCCUGUGGAACGCCCUCCCACCAGAUGUCAAAGAGAACAACAACUACCAGACUUUUAGAAGACAUCUGAAGGCAGCCCUGUUUAGGGAAGCUUUUAAUAUUUAAUGCAUUACUGUAUUUUAAUAUUUUGUUGGAAGCCACCCAGAGUGGCUAGGGAAGCCCAGCCAGAUGGGUGGGGUAAAAAUAAAUUAUUAUUAUUAUUAUUAUUAUUAUUAUUAUUAUCCUUGCGGACAACACUGAGGUAGAUGUUGCAAUGGUCUGACUCAGCAGAAGGCAGCUUUCUGUGUUCUGGAAAAUUCUUGAUACAGCUGACCCUGGGCAUGCUUGCACUGUUGUGGUUGGCAUCUGUCUGUCUCAAAAGACAAUGGAGUUUGCUUCCGGGGGUGAAGUCAAGCUGCUGUGUUAGUAGCCCCAAAGUGAGCUCCCUGGGGUGCAAGUCUGGGCAGUGCGUCUGGAGAUCCUGGGCUGCCCAGACGGCAAGACACCCCCCCACCUUGGCCUCCCUGAUGUGGUCCAAAGGAAAGCAGAACAAGACAUUUGGCACCCGCUUGGCUGCAGGUGUUACCGGAAGGAGACGUACAAGGAACCAUCCAACCACCUUAGGGACUCCGCUCUGGAUUUGUGUAGGAUUAACUCCCCUGCCUUUUCUUUCCUUGAAUAUAUCUGACAACUGAGCUGUGGGUUAAACCACAGAGCCUAGGGCUUGCUGAUCAGAAGGUUGGCGGUUUGAAUCCCCGCGAUGGGGUGAACUCCCGUCGCUCGGUCCCUGCUCCUGCCCACCUAGCAGUUCGAAAGCACGUCAAAGUGCAAGUAGAUAAAUAGGUACCACUCCAGCAGGAAGGUAAACGGCAUUUCCAUGUGCUGCUCUGGUUCGCCAGAAGCAGCUUAGUCAUGCUGGCCACAUGACCUGGAAGCUGUACGCCGGCUCCCUCGGCCAAUAAAGCGAGAUGAGCGCCGCAACCCCAGAGUCAGCCACGACUGGACCUAAUGGUCAGGGGUCCCUUUACCUUUACAUUAACUCCCCGGCCUUUUCUUUCCUUGAAUAUAUCCAAUAAUUGGGAAACACUGGCCUGCGUGCGUUCCAAUUGGAGAGCAGCCUUUUCCAAAGGAGUCAUGGGUUUUGAAGACACUCGAACUCAGGACGCAAGGGAGAAACGUGCUAAGAGGAAGGCACACUUGGCAAAUCCACACCGUGAUCAACUCCCGCCUGGAAACCUAUGUCCCCACUGUGCAAGAAUGUGUGGAUCCAGAAUUGGCCUCCACAGUCACUUACGGACUCACUGCUAAAACCCUGUUUUGGAAGAUCUUACUUGGCUAUGAGUGAUCGCCAAAGAAGAAGAAGAUAUCCUGCAAAGGAUCAGAGGUUUAGGACCAGAGAUUCCUUUCUCCUUGAAGGGCUCUCUUUCCAGGGAGGCAAGCCCCAUCUGCCCCCUCUACAGCAUGGGAAGAAACCUCCUUGACCCUUGGACCCAUUCUUGCACUUUAUCCUCCAGAACAUGUUUUUGCAUGCAGGGGAAGCGAAGCUCCUAACUUGGCUCUGAGACCCAUAGGCUUCUCUCACCUGGUUUAGCUGGCCAGUCAAAGCCGUUUCCUAGGGAUGUAGCCGCUGUCUCAUGCGGACAGCUUCCAGGAGCCACAGGUGAGAGCCGAGUGCAGGGUGGGGACCAAAGGAGGACAAACUCCCCCAGAAGGAGCAGGAUGUGUCCCCCAACAGGGGUUCUCCCCAAACACCCCAUGCAUAGGUCUAAAUUUUGGAGGUCCCAGGUCACAAGGUGGUUAGAUUGGUCUCAACUAGGGCCAGGGCCUUUUCAGUACUGGCCCCGACUUGGUGGAACGCUCUGUCACAAGAGACUAGGGUCCUGCGGGACUUGACAUCUUUCCGCAGGGCCUGCAAGACAGAGCUGUUCCGCCUGGCCUUUGGUUUGGACUCAGUCUGACCCUUACGUUUCCCUCCCCUUAUGGUCUUGAUUUAUCGGCUACUUUUAAAUGAGGCUUCAUUUUAAAUUGCAUUUUAACCUGUAUUUUAAAUUGGUUUUUUUUCCUUUCCCCUCUCUUUCCCCCCUAUUAUGUUUUUACUGUGAUUUUAUUGGUGUUAGCUGCCCUGAGCCCGGCUCUGGAUGGGGAGGGCGGGGUAUAAAUAAAAUCUAUUAUUAUUAUUAUUAUUAUUAUUAUUAUUAUUAUUAUUACAGUCACACCUCGGGUUGAAUGUGCUUUGGGAUGAGUGCGUUCGAGUUGCGCUCCGUGGCAACCCGGAAGUAACGGAGCGUGUUACGUCCGGGUUUCACCGCUUGCGCAUGCGCAGAUGCUCAAAAUGACGUCACGCGCAUGUGCAGAAGUGGCAAAAAGCGACGCGCGCGUGCACAGACGUGCCAUCGCUAGUUAUGUUUGCUUCUAGAUGCGAACAGGGCUCCACAACGGAUCCCGUUCACAUCUAGAGGUACCAUUGUAUUAUUAAAUCUUACUCUGAUCACUGGGUUCAUAAGCAACUGCAGCCUUCAGAUAAAUGUCAAUUUUGCUUAACUCCCUGGCACCCGCAUGGGGAACGAAAAAGGCUUUCGUUUUGUACCUAAGCCCCCCGCAAAAGCUCAAUAGGCUGCAGAGGUUCCCCUCCCAGGCUGCCAGCUGUUUUCACCAGUUUGCAUGCAUGCUCCAUCUACUCCUUUGCAGAACUGGAGCCUGAUUUCGUCUCCUCUCCUGGCUGAUUUAAACCAGCCUUGAUGUCAUUCCUUGUUUGCAACUCAGGCCUUAAAACUCAGGGGGAGGCAGAGGCGACAGAGCCCCCCUCCCCUCUCCGCUUUGCCGGAGGCUCUCUGAAAGGACGGCAUGCGCAGCCAAUGGAAAGCCCAGCUGUGUGAGCAUGAUGUCACCAGGACAGGCUCCCAUUGGGCAAGGUCGGGCUACUUAACCUAGCAACAGCCGCCAAGGCCGCCUCGCCCCCAUUAACCCCCUGCAAGCCAGCUCUGCUCUCUCUCCCCCCCCCCCCAGCUGUUAAUCACUUUUGUGGGGAGCUGUGCAGCCGCAGAGUGCGCUUCCUUCUCCCUGCUCACAAAGGAGGGAGCUGGCAGGUGAAAAGGAGGCCUGUCAGCCGUGGAAACCGCAGCCCUUUUGUUGCCCGGCCUCAGUUCCUCCUGCCUUGCCCCCCCUCGGGCGCGCACAGAUGGCACCAUUGUUGCCUGAACAAAGCCGGAGGGGAGUGCCGUGCCAUGGGUUGGCAGGACGGCCGAGGCUGGCAGCUGGCGGGCAAGCGCCAGGCCUAGCUUGGCUCAAGCUGUCGCGGUGGAAGCUCGCCAGCGAGUGGCAAUAAAUAACAAGGGGCAGCGGCACGCGAGGACCCCCUCUGCACCGUCCCGGCCGGGCAAAGCCCCCUCUGUGCCAGCCCUGCAAUGCGAGGUUGCCCACCAGGGCUUGGUCCCAGUUUGCAGGCCGAGCACAACAAACCACGGUUUCCCGGGUCGGGUGUAGCAGCAAGCCACGGUUUACCUCUGCGUGGAAAAGUUGGGCUAUUGCUGUACUUGAAGAGGGUGUGGGGGACCUCAAAGCACAUUUUGCCGCCUGAGGCGAAGGGCAAGAUGGCUCUGCCCCUCUUUCUGUGCGCAAAGGGUACUGAGUCCGGCUGUUGGGCCUGGCAACGGGGCAGCGUCCUCUGCUGUGCCAGAGAGCGGCAGGUCAGGUCAGAGGGUGCAGGCCAGGCCCUGUCCCUCAGUACCUGUCGCCUGAGGCGCUCACCUCACUUGGCCUCCCGGUCGGGCAGAGGACUCGAACUCAUGGCUUCAAGUUACAAGAAAGGAGUUUCUGACUAAACAUUUGGGAAAACUUUCUGAGGGUCAUUGCUAUUUGAUAGCAGACUGUCCUUCAUUGGAGAUUUCUGAACACAGGUUCACCUGUCUGGGAUUAUUUAGCGGUGAUUCCAUCCCGAAAGGUAAAGGUAAAGGGACCCCUGACCAUUAGGUCCAGUCGUGGCUGACUCUGGGGUUGCGGCACUCAUCUUGCUUUAUUGGCCGAUGGAGCCGGCGUACAGCUUCCGGGUCAUGCGGCCAGCAUGACUAAGCCACUUCUGGCGAACCAGAGCAGCGCACGGAAACACCGUUUACCUUUCCGCCGGAGUGGUACCUAUUUAUCUACUUGCACUGGUGUGCUUUCGAACUGCUAGGUGGGCAGGAGGAUUCCAUCCCUACAAUUCUACAGUUCUGUGGUUUUACAAAUAAUAUUUGCACCGGCAAAAGCUGCAGGGUGAGUCUACUUCUGAUCAGUGCAAACCCCCCCCCCCCAUAACAACCUCCUGAAAUCCUGUAUACACCACAAAUGUCUCGGUUUGUUUCUGGUCCUGCUUUUGUUGCUCUGUACUGUGAAAUUUCCCCUCCAGGAAACAAUCCUGCGGAAGCAUUACGGAAGCGAUAUAGCCAAAUGAUGUGCGGACGGUUCAGUUUCAAUCCUGCGCUCAUGAUGCAAUCUUAAACCCACGCAGCGCUAAAUCCAGCAGCAAGCUGCCCCUGUGAUUCCGCUUGCAAUUGAGGUGUGGGAGACUCUUUGUGGGAUGAGUUGGGGACCCUGCCUCUCCCCUCUUGCAGGGCCCAGGAGGGGAUUUCUGGCUCCCCACUGGCCCAGCGUAAUCCCAGGAAAUUUGGUGCUGGGGGGGGGAGGUGGCUGGGCCCCAUCGCAAACCUUAGCAGGCAGGCCCUGACCUGCCUCCUUGCCUCCGGGGUCUGGCAAAACAAACAAACAAACAACGAAGAAGGAACCCAAAGUCCCGCAAAUAACUUUCCUUUUCUUUUCGGGCUCCCGAGGUUGCCUUGGGGAUGGCAGCUUGGCUUUUGAUGUCAUCCCGGAUCGGUUGCCACGGUGACCGGGUCUCUCUGCGGUCACCAUUGCCAUGGCGACAGACUGGAUUGAGUGAUGGAGAAUGGGGCUUAAGCCAGAGGGACAGCCCUCCUUCCGCUGGGCUUGGUGAUGAAGGCAAAGUUGCAGGCCGCAGAAAUCCCGCUGCCCCAAGGCCCAGACCCACAGACCAAAUACCUAGGGAAAGACCCCCCCCCCAACUCACGAGAGGAACACCUGCUUUGAAUGCAGAAGGUGCCGGGUGUUUGCUUCUUCUUCUUCUUUUUUAACAUAGUUUUUUUAAUUGAUUUUCACAGUUUUUGCAAAUUUACUUAUAUUUCAAUAUACAUUUUUCGUAAAUUUUUGACAUCCCACCCUUACUUCCGUGAUGUUUUUAUUCCCACCUUAUACGUACUGCUUUAUACGACAUACUUUAAUCUAAUACAAUUAUCCUCCAUUUCAUUUGUCAUUGUUUUCAUUCCGCUGCUCAUAAUUCGAACCCUGUCCAUGUGGCUAUAACAGUUUUUCAAAUAGCCCAAAAAGGGUCUCCACUCUUUCAUGAACAAAUCGUCUCUUUUAUCUCUUUAUUUUUGCUGUCAAUUUCGCCAUUUCCACCUAGCCCAUUAUCUUUCGAAGCCAUUCCUCCUGGGCAGGAACUUCACCUUCUUCCCAUUUCUGAACGUACAGGAUUCCAGCUGCUGUUGCCGCAUCCAAAGGGCCCAAUUUUGAUCCUCAGCAUCUUCAGGUCGGCCUGAGAAAGACGGCCUGGGGAGCAGCUGCCAGUCAGAGCCCAGACUAGGUUUGGAGAAACUUUCUGCGCUUUCCGUUCUUGUUUGUAUUAUGCAUUUUGUGUUUUUAGCUUGUUAUGUUGCGAACAGCCCUGAAAUGGAGUGUGGUAUACCAAUUCAAUAAAUAAUAAAAUUAAACAAAUAAAUAGAACUCUGAGGGCCAAAUUCCUUUCCGGACAAGCUUCUGAGGGCCACAUGCAAAACCAGGCAGAGGAACGGAUGCUAAUUUCACUUUUUGUGCAGCAGACCAGUUUCUACGGACACUACAAAUGCACCUAUCUAAACCAUACCUUCCAACUUCUUCCAAAUAAAAACGGGGGUGCACAUCUUCGGGGGUGCACAUCUUCUGGGAUGCACCCUUGGGUGAGUCAUGUGACCCAUGCCUUGCUCUCGCACCCCUCUUCAUCCCCACCCCACCCCACAAUUCAUAUUCAUAUAUAUGUGUCUCUAACUCUUCUCACCGGCUCAUAUAAAUAGCUGAGUCUGGUGUUCCCAACCUUUAUAGUUAUAAAUUGUGGGGAGCCAUCUGAUUUAUUCUGAUUUUAAUUUGUAUUUCAGUCGAUUGCUGGAUUUUAUGUUUUAAUGUACAGUGGUACCUCGGGUUACAUACGCUUCAGGUUACAGCCUUCGCUAACCCAGAAAUAUUACCUCGGGUUAAGAACUUUGCUUCAGGAUGAGAACAGAAAUUGUGUGGUGGCGGCGCGGCAGCAGUGGGAGGCCCCAUUAGCUAAAGUGGUGCUUCAGGUUAAAAACAGUUUCAGGUUAAGAACGGACCUCCAGAAUGAAUUAAGUUCUUAACCCAAGGUUGUUGUUGUUGUUUAGUCGUUUAGUCGUGUCCGCUUCUUCGUGACCCCCUGGACCAGAGCACGCCAGGCACUCCUGUCUUCCACUGCCUCCCGCAGUUUGGUCAGACUCAUGUUUGUAGCUUCGAGAUCACUGUUCAACCAUCUCGUCCUCUGUCGUCCCCUUCUCCUUGUGCCCUCCAUCUUUCCCAACAUCAGGGUCUUUUCCAGGGAGUCUUCUAUUCUCAUGAGGUGGCCAAAGUAUUGGAGCCUCAGCUUCAGGAUCUGUCCUUCCAGUGAGACUCAGGGCUGAUUUCCUUAAGAAUGGAUCGGUUUGAUCUUCUUGCAGUCCAUGGGACUCUCAAGAGUCUCCUCCAGCACCAGAAUUCAAAAGCAUCAAUUCUUCGGCGAUCAGCCUUCUUUAUGGUCCAGCUCUCACUUCCAUACAUCACUACUGGGGAAAACCAUAGCUUUAACUCUACGGACCUUUGUUGGCAAGGUGAUGUCUCUGCUUUUUAAGAUGCUGUCUAGGUUUGUCAUUGCUUGUAUUAUUCUAUCGAUUAGCCCAGUUUCUGGGGCUGCUUUUCAGUUUUCUUGAAAGCAGACUUGGGGAAAUGGAUCUGGGCAGUGGGACCAACCCCCCUCCCCAGGAAAAAAUUGACAGGUGGGUGGAGGGUUGGGGAUUGCACCCCUGCCAGUCACCUGAAGGGAACACAGAGCCAUUAGCGGAUCAGCAGUCUCCCCGCAACCUCACUUUGCUGCAGAAAGAUGAUCCUGCACCUGCUGCACACCUGCCGUCAUAGGGCAGGUGUGUGUGGCUUGCCAGAUUGUACUGAUUUAGACCCGCAGGUCAGGUGUUCCCCACAGCUGCACUGAGCGCAGGGGAGAUUGCCACAGGGGCUGUUUCAGAAACGCACAAAAACCCGGGCACAUUUCCCACCGCAUCAGCCGCCUCUCCUUCGCCCUUUCUGACCCUGCGCAUCCUGCCCAGCUAAGCCUCUGGGAUUAACAGCUCCUGACCCAGCCUCUUCAUCAAAAGCUACUUAGCAGGCUCGGCAGGUGUUGGGAGCCUGAAAUAGAGAGGCGAAAAGGGCGUCGAAGAGAUGCUUUAGUUAUACUUAUUUCGCUCGGCGCAGUGACCUGCUGCCCAUAAGACAAAGUCCCUCUGGGCAGUUCGUGAAACGGUAUAAAAGGAAGCUCUCAGUACAGAGCAUAUACUGUAUUUUUUGCUCUAUAAGACUAACUUUUCCCCUCCUAAAACAUAAGGGGAAAUGUGUGUGCGUCUUAUGGAGCGAAUGCAGGCUGCUCAGCUAUCUCAGAAACCAGAACAGCAAGAGGGAUUGCUGCUUUCACUGUGCAGCGAUCCCUCUUGCUGUUCUGGCUUCUGAGAGUCAGAAUAUUUUUUUCUUGUUUUCCUCCUCCAAAAACUAGGUGCGUCUUGUGGUCUGGUGCAUCUUAUAGAGUGAAAAAUACGGUAUUAAUUAAAUACGGUAUUAAAUACAUAUUAAAUAUGGUACUACUGGUAGAAAAUAAAAUCCGCAUGGAACCCAGUAUGAGAACAGUCUAAGGGGAAGGGGUGCUGGCCCACCUGGCAGGGAGGGCGUGCGGAUAAGUAGCCAUCUUUGAGGUCAACCUGGCUGUGCAAAUACACCAGGCAGAUUUUAAACCGAGGCGGAAGCCAGCUGUGCAUUUCAAAGCACAUUUAUGACCAUUCAGCUAUUCCCUAUUCCCUGUUUUACUGAAGGUACAUUAUUGCAGUCCAUAACUGAUUUUUUAAAAAAUUUCCUUUAUGAAUACAUGAGUACGUUUCCGAGCACAAUUCAAAGUGUUGGUGCUGACCUUGAAAGCCCUAAACGGCCUCGGUCCAGUAUACCCGAAGGAACGUCUCCACCCCCAUCGCUCUCCCCGGACACUGAGGUUCAGCGCCGAGGGCCUUCUGGCGGUUCCCUCACUGCAAGAAGUGAGGUUACAGGGAACCAGGCAGAGGGCCUUCUCCAUAGUGGCGCCUGCCCUGUGGAAAGGAAAUAAACAACUAUCUGACUUUUAGAAGACAUCUGAAGGCAGCCCUGUUUAGGGAAGCUUUUAAUGUUUAAUAGGUUGACAACCAUAUGUCAGGAGUGCUCUGAUGGUGUUUCCUGCUUGGCAGGGGGUUGGACUCGAUGGCCCUUGUGGUCUCUUCCAACUCUAUGAUUCUAUGAUUCUAUGAUUCUAGGUUAUUGUAUUUUAAUAUUCUAUUGGAAGCCGCCCAGAGUAGCUGAAGAAACCCAGCCAGAUGGGCGGGGUAUAAAUAAAUUUAUUAUUAUUAUUAUUCUCAUCCUGAAGUGAUUAAACAAUGAUUAAAAAUUGGCAUAUAGAUGAUAGAUGGAUGGAUAGAUAGAUAGAUAGAUAGAUAGAUAAGAUAGAUAGAGAUAUUGCUUCUAGAUGAUCUGUUUAUUGAGCAUUCAUCCUGAUUUGCUUGCAGGGAGAUUAGAAUAAUAGAAUAAUAGAAUCUUAAGAGUUGGAAGGGACCCCGAGGGUCAUCUAGUCCAACCCCCUGCAAUGCAAGAAUUUCAGCUAAGGCAUCCCUGACAGGCGGCCAUCCAACCUCUGCUUUGAACCUCCAAGAAAGGAGAUUCUAUCAUCUUCCAAGGGAGACUGUUCCACUGUCAAAUGGCUUCUACUGUCAGAAAGGUCUUCCUGAUAUUUAGUCUGAACCUCCCUUCUUGUAACUUGAAGCCAUUGGUUCAAGUCCUAUCCUCUGGAGCAGGAGAAAACAAGCUUCCUCCCUCCUCCAUGUGACAACCCUUAAGAUAUUUGAAGAUGUCUAUCAUAUCUCCUCUCAAUCUCCUCUUCUCCAGGCUCAACAUACCCAGCUCCUUCAACCGUUCCUCAUCAGGCUUGGUUUCCAGACCCUUGAUCAUCUCGGUCACCUGCCCACCUUCCAGCUUGUCAACAUCCUUCUGAAAUUGUGGAGCCCAGAACUGGACACAGUAUUUUAGGUGUGGUCUGACCAAGGCAGAAUAGAGUGAUACUAUGACCUCCCUUGGGCUGGAUACUAGAUGGCUGUUGCUAUAGCCUAGAAUAGCGUUAGUCACACUGUUGACUCAUGUCAACUCACCAAGAUUAGACAGCAACACUGGCUGUGUCAUUUGUUCCCCUUCAUUUGCGGGGAGGUUAAAUGGAGGUGAAUCGUAGGAAAUAUCACCCCAUCCUUUCCAGCAUCUCUCCGCAUCUCUUGGGGGAACGAGGUUGCUGAGAAAGCCCUUGCGAUCAUCUAUAAUUGCAAAACCUGAAUUUGCUGGAAUGAAAACACUGAAUCUGGAGACAUCCAGAGUUUCUAGCCCAAUGCAGGCGGGAAACUUGGCGUCCCUUACUUUAGAAGUCCCCGUAAGCCUGACCCUAUAGAAGAGCCUUCUGCAACCUACAUCUGCCUGGGAUGGAUGGGGGAAGAAGGCUGAAGCAUCGUUUGCAGGGAAAGAACAGAACAUGUUUACGCACAGAACACACAACGCCUCUGAUUUCUACAUCCAGACUAUUCUGGUGGGUUGCCUUGAAAUACGGUGUGUUUGCUGCCACCUCGUGGCAAGUCUGCAAAUGAAUUCUACUUGUUACUGGAAUCUGUCUUCUCAAGAGGCAAUGGAGUGCACCUCAGGGGCAAACCGCUGGGGAAUCACAGCGCCUGCUGUGGCUGCAGAGACCAGAAACUUGUAGCUGCUGCCUCCCACAUAUUUUUAUUUUUGCUGUGUUAGCAGCAUCAAAGUGACCUCCCUGGGACACAUACAUACAAACCGUGUUGUUCGUUGUUCUAAUGUGUUGUAAGCAAUGACAAACCUAGACAGCAUCUUAAAAAGCAGAGACAUCACCUUGCCGACAAAGGUCCGUAUAGUCAAAGCUAUGGUUUUCCCAGUAGUGAUGUAUGGAAGUGAGAGCUGGACCAUCAAGAAGGCUGAUCGCCGAAGAAUUGAUGCUUUUGAAUUCUGGUGCUGGAGGAGACUCUGGAGAGUCCCAUGGACUGCAAGAAGAUCAAACCUCUCCAUUCGGAAGGAAAUCAUCCCUGAGUGCUCACUGGAAGGACAGAUCCUGAAGCUGAGGCUCCAAUACUUUGGCCACCUCAUGAGAAGAGAAGACUCCCUGGAAAAGACCCUGAUGUUGGGAAAGAUGGAGGGCACAAGGAGAAGGGGACGACAGAGGAUGAGAUGGUUGGACAGUGUUCUCAAAGCUACCAGCAUGAGUUUGACCAAACUGUGGGAGGCAGUGGAAGACAGGAGUGCCUGGCGUGCUCUGGUCCAUGGGGUCACGAAGAGGUGGACACAACUAAACGACUAAACAACAACAACAAGAGUCUGCCAAUGUCUGGGGGCCCAAAGGAGUGCCUGGCGUGCUCUGGUCCAGGGGGUGACAAAGAGUCAGACAAGACUAAACAACUAAACAAUAACAACAACAAUGUGUUGUAAACCGCUUUGAGAUUUUUUUUCUUUAAAAGUUAAAGCGGUAUAGAAAUGACAUGAAUACUAAUGAGAACACAUAGUUUUACUUGUGUGCCAGCGUUCCCUCGUUACAACCAUACUUAAGCCAAUUUACAACGCGGAGAGGAAAAAAAUUACACCAUUGCAAACAUAGCAAAAGUAGUCAUAAACAUUGAAUAAAGCCUCAAAAAGCACACAACUAAAUUGAAACCAUUUCCACAUAAAUCAUAAUAAGAUCUAGAAUUAAAGCACAAAAAUUAAUGGCAAUAACUGCAGCAACACACACACACACACACACACACAGAGAGAGAGAGAGAGAGAGAGAGAGAGAGCAACCACCUCUAAGCAACAACCCAAGUGUCUGAUCAGCAGCCUCAGCUUUUGUAGCUGGAGUCAGUCCACCCGCCCCCCCACUCCCAGGCCAGAUGGAAAAAGGCCUGCAAGGCAGGGAGCAAGUCUUCCAGGAAUCACAGCCAAGAUGACUAUUUGAGUAGCUGGCAAUAUAACAAAUAUGGAAAGACACUACAGGCUGUCUUAUGUGUGUACAUAGAAGUCCACCUUUUAAAAUCAGAAUUCAAAUAUUUUUCUACUGGAGGCCUGACUUAUAAUGAGAGGAGAAUUUAUAACAUUCGUAUUCCAUCCAGAAGCAAAGUAUAAUAUCCUAGCCUCACACUCCAAAGUAAGGCAGAGAUAAUCAGAGCAGAGCUAUCUAGGGAUAUUCAUAGCGGAGUAGCAGAACACUACUGACUCACACUGGGCAGUGUGUCUGGAGGUCCUGGGCUGCCCAGACGACAAGACCCCCUCUCAGCCUCCCUGACGGGGUCCAAAGGACAGCAGAGCAAGAUGUUGGGCACCAGUUUGGCUGCAGGAGUUGCUGGAAGGAGAAGAAGAAGAAGAGUUUGGAUUUGAUAUCCCACUUUAUCACUACCCAAAGGAGUCUCAAAGCGGCUCACAAUCUCCUUUCCCUUCCUCCCCCACAACAAACACUCUGUGAGGUGAGUGGGGCUGAGAGACUUCAAAGAAGUAUGACUAGCCUAUGGUCACCCAACAGCUGCAUGUGGAGGAGCAGGGAAGCGAACCCGGUUCCCCAGAUUACGAGUCUACCGCUCUUAACCACUACACUGCACUGGCACCAUCCAACUGUCUUAGGGACUCCACUCCAGAUUUGUGUAGGGUUGACCCUGACCCUUUUUUUUCUCCCGAAGACAUCCCACGAGGCAGCAGACGUUUAGGAUCAGAGUUCUUCUCCUGGAUGGGCUUCCUUCCCAGGUGGACGAGCCCCACCUGCCCCUCUCUUCUCUCGACGGUGCGUGCAGAAACUGCCUUCUUGACUGUUGGACCAGCUCUUGGUCUUUUCUGUUCAAUCUGCCAGAACCUGUCUUCACAUGCAGGGGGUCUGAGACCCAUCGGCUCCCCUCACAUGGUUGAGCCGACCAUAGAAUCAUAGAAUCAUAGAGUUGGAAGAGACCACAAGGGCCAUCGAGUCCAACCCCCUGCCAAGCAGGAAACACCAUCAGAGCACUCCUGACAUAUGGUUGUCAAGCCUCUGCUUAAAGACCUCCAAAGAAGGAGACUCCACCACACUCCUUGGCAGCAAAUUCCACUGUCGAAUAGCUCUUACUGUCAGGAAGUUCUUCCUAAUGUUUAGGUGGAAUCUUCUUUCUUGUAGUUUGGAUCCAUUGCUCCGUGUCCGCUUCUCUGGAGCAGCAGAAACAACCUUUCUCCCUCCUCUAUGUGACAUCCUUUUAUAUAUUUGAACAUGGCUAUCAUAUCACCCCUUAACCUCCUCGACUUAACCAGUCGAAGCCUUUCCCGGGUGUGCGUGCUGUCACAUGCUGACAGCUUCUAAGAGCCACAGGUGAGAGCUGAGUGCAGAGUGUGGACCAAAGGGGGACAAACUCCCCCAGAAGGAGCACGACUUAUCCCCCACCAGAGGUACCACCCCUCUCCUAAUACCCCAUACACAAAAUAAUAAUACAGUCAUAUCUCAGGUUACGUUUGCUUCAUGUUACGUUCUUUCAGUUUAUGUCCCGCAGUGACCCAGAAGUACCCGGAAGUACCCGAAAGGGAUACUCCCGGGUUUCGCCUCUCACGCAUGUGCAGAAGCACUAAAUCGCGCUUCGUGCAUGCGCACAUGUGCCAAAUCGCGCCGCACACCUGCACAGAUAAAGUGCUUCAGGUUGUGCUCUUUUCAUGUUGCGAACGGGCCUCCAGAACGGAUCCUGUUCACAACCAGAGGUACCAGUGUAAUAAUAAUAAUAAUAAUAAUAAUAAUAAUAAUAAUAUCAUUUGUACCCCACCCAUUUGACUGGGUUGGCCCAGUGGGUGGCUUCCAACAUUUUUAAAAACAUAAUAAAACACCACACAUUAAAAGUCUUCCUUGAAAGGCUUGAUGCUUCCACUUCAUGGCUUAUUAAAUUCAGCAGGGGUCCAGAGUCGGGAGGCUGCGGGUGCCUCAUGUAGAGAGGGCACAGUUCCAACUCCUUUAAAAGAAGAAACUCACCUGGACCCUGCGCUACCUGGGCAAAGUGAUCAGGAGUGGUGGCUGGGCAACUCCACUCAUCACGGAAUGAAACCAAUUCUCUGGUACCAUUUCAGUCAGAUUUCAGAGCUGCUUUGUCGAUGGAAACUGCCUUGGUCUCCCUGUGGGUUGGACUUUGUUGGAGGGAUUGACAGGGGGAGUGAGACACUGCUAAAUCUCCUGGACCUCUCAGUGGCUUUUGAUGGCCCCGGUGUCCUCCUGGACUGGCUACCAGAGUGUGGGAGGCAACACUCGUUGGUGGUUCUGCUCAUAGCUGGGUGGCCGGGUCCAUAAGGUGGUUCUGGUGAACCACCUUGGCAGGCAUGCUUUGAAGUUUCUCCCAUCCCACUUAACAUCUGCAUGAGACUCUUGGGUGAGGCCAUCUGGAGACUUGGUUGGAGGUGUUACCAGUAUGCAGAGAACACCCAGCUGUCUAGGUUGGUGGCAAUUCUCCCCCCCUUCCCCCCCAUUAUUUUUUAUUAUUUUCCUUUAAACAACAUUCCCAACAUUACAAUAACAAACACAAAACAACCUUUUUGCUCUGCUGAGCUUGCGACUUCCUUCCUUCCCUUCAACAGGUAUCCCAUAUCACAUCCAUUUCAAGCAAUUCAAAUCUUUACUAUGUGUCCACAUUGUAGGAUUUAUUUCAACCCUGCUCGUGUCUUCAGAUUUUUGCAAUUAUCGUUCCAAUAUUCAAUAAACUUACUCCAGUCUCUUUGGAAUUUCUGAUCGUCCUGGUCUCGGAUCCUGCAAGUCAGUUUGGCCAACUCUGCAAAGUCCAUCACCUUCGCCUGCCACUCCGCAAUAGUAGGUAUUUCUUGUAAUUUCCAUUUUUGGGCCAGCAAAGUCCUUGCUGCGACUGUGGCAUGCGUAAAUAGAUACAGUGGUGCCCCGCAAGACGAAUGCCUCACAAGACGAAAAACUCGCUAGACGAAAGAGUUUUCCGUUUUUUGAGUCGUUCCGCAAGACAAAUUUCCCUAUGGGCUUGCUUCGCAAGACGAAACGUCUUGCGAGUUCUUGCGAGUUUGUUUCCUUUUUCUUAAAGCCGCUAAGCCGCUAAGCCGUUAAUAGCCGCUAAGCCGCUAAGCCGCUAAUAGCCGUGCUUCGCAAGACGAAAAAACCGCAAGACGAAGAGACUCGCGGAACGGAUUAAUUUUGUCUUACGAGGCACCACUGUAUAGUGGCAAUUCUUUGUUUCUUGAAGCAGCAAGUUCCACAAAUCUGCGCUGCAGGAAAGUCCUUUCUUUGGCCUGCCCUGAAUUGUCCAACAUUCAGUUUCACUGGAUGUCCACAAGUCUGAGUGUUAUGCGAGAGGGAGAAAAACUUCCCCCUAUCUUUCUCUCACCUUUUCUCUAAGUCCAACCAAAAAAGUCCAAAAUGCUGUGACCGUUCCUCACAGGGGAGUCGCUCCAACUCUUGGAUCAUUCUGGCUUCCUUUUCCCGAACCUUCUCCAACUCUCCAAUGUCCCUUUUGAGGUGAGGCGAUCAGGAGCAACGAAGAUGACCCAACAGCUUCUACACCCUGCCUGCCAAGCUGUCAAAGAUGUGCCGUGAUGUGUACUCUUGCAAAACUUGCACACUUUGCAAGCUUGGGGGGUGGGUCUGCUCCCACCUGCAGCGGCAGUGCCUUGGGCUAGGAGAUAAUCCUGCACCCUCCUUUUAAGGCUCCUGAUCAGUGUCUGUUACUUCUCCCGUCAGCAGCCCAUGGCCCUUCCCAGCCUCUUCAGAGACCCACCCCCCACUCUGCCAGGAAGGCGUUGACAUCCCUGCUCCCCUUUCCAAAGCAGCCAAUGGCGCCAAACCAGCUUCACCUCUCUCGGCCUAGUAUACCUGAAGGAGUGUCUCCGCCCCCAUCAUUCUGCCCGGACGCUGAGGUCCAGCGCCGAGGGCCUUCUGGCGUUUCCCUCAUUGCGAGAAGCAAAGCUACAGGGAACCAGGCAGAGGGCCUUCUCGGUGGUGGCGCCCGCCAUGUGGAACGCCCUCCCAUCAGAUGUCAAAGUGAUAAAUAACUACCUGACAUUUAAAAACAUCUGAAGGCAACCCUGUUCAGGGAAGUUUUUAAUGUGUGACAUUUUGAUGUAUUUUUAAUUCUUGUUGGCAGCUGCCCAGAGAGGCUGGGGAAACCCAGCCAGAUGGGCGGGGUAAGGUAAUGGUAAAGGGACCCCUGACCAUUAGGUCCAGUCAUGACCAACUCUGGGGUUGUGGCGCUAAUCUCGCUUUAUUGGCCGAGGGAACCAGCGUACAGCUUCCGGGUCAUGUGGCCAGCAUGACUAAGCCGCUUCUGGCGAACCAGAGCAGCACAUGGGAAUGCCGUUUACCUUCCCGCCGGAGAGGUACCUACUUAUCUACUUGCACUUGACGUGCUUUCGAACUGCUAGGUUGGCAGGAGCUGGGACAGAGCAACGGGAGCUCACCCCGUUGCGGGGAUUCGAACCACCGACCUUCUGAUCAGCAAGUCCUAGGCUCUGUGGUUUAACCCAUAGGGAAGGGUACAAAUAAUAAAUUAUUAUUAUUAUUAUUAUUAUUAUUAUUCUCCAUCAAACGCAAGUGGCAGUCCUGAGCCAGGUGAGGCAGGAUAACUUGGACCAGAGACGUGGACCAGACAUGAUGGGGGCACUGCUAUGCACCCAGAAGGUGAAGGAUAUUGGGCCUGUUCUAGAUGGGCCGAACUUCCCCUAAGGCAUGGGGAUGACAGUGACUGGAUCUGGCUGGUGGAACAGAUCCUUACCUCUCCCACAGGCCAACUUUGACAGGUGAUCCUCCCUUCGCCCACUUCCAGGUCCCACCUGCCUGCCACUGGAUAUCUCAAUGGCGUCAGGUGGCCAAUACUCCUUGAUGGGCCUUAUGGGUCUUAGAGGAAUUGGCCGCCUUUUGUCCUGCCACAACAGGGCCACCGUGUUCAAGCAAGCAGGAGAACGGCCAUCUGGCGCCGAGCGAAGCUUAUUUGAGAACCAAACAGAUGAAGAUGAUGGACUUUUCGGAGCUAGCUGACCUGACGGGAAGAGUCCACGACCAGAAAGAAGAGGGAUCCCAAGAAGAUUGGAAAAAAUGUAAGGACUACCUGAACAAAUAUUGUAAUAUUAAAAACCAGAAAUCAUUUGAAAGCACCAGAGAGGCCUAGGAUUAAAUUAGGAUUUAUUAAAUAAAUUGGGUUUAGAAUAGUAAGAAAAGUGAAUACGUUAGAUAACAAUUGGAAAUAUUUUUGUUGAAGAAUGAUAUUGGAAAGCUGUUACGUACAGAUACAAGGAAACUCAGAAGGAAGGGAUUAGAGGAAGUCAACCAAUAUGUAAAUAAGGUUGGGUUGUAAAGGUUUAAGAUUAUUUUCUCCUAUGUUGUGGUUCUGGUUAUGUCUUUCUUGUAAUGUACUGUACUGUUUUUUUCUUUUGGUGUGUGUGUGUGUGUGUGUUUUUCUUUCUUCUUUUUCUUUUUUCUUUUUUGUUAGAUUGUAAGUGUUAUAAUUGUGGAAAAUUCAAUAAAAAAAGUUGGGGGAAAAAAUACAUCCCUGCUCACGCCCUAGCAUGCAUGUCAAAUGCACCGUGUUCAACACUCCUGCGUUUUACGCGGCAAGGUGAGUCGCUGCGUCUGGUUGUUAACCAGAAGGUUGGCAGUUCGAGCCCACCCAGGAAUGGUUAUGGGUAGAAUUCCUACAUUGCUGGGGGCUGGACUGGAUGACCCUCGGGGUCCCUUCCAAGUUGACAAUUCCAGGAUUCUGCGAAUGUGGAUGUAGCUGGCCUCUCGUAUGAAAUUUAAAUGUUCUUCCGGUUUCGUACAUUCCCACCAGAGGGAGGCAAAGAGCCACAAAUGAUGAUCUAUGGCUCGCGGCGCUUCCAGCUGGGUCCUUAUUGUGGGGUCCCAGCACCCAAAAAUACAGGGGUUUAUUGGCAGUGCAUAUCCACAACAGCACCUGUCAGCCUGAUCCUGCCCCCCACCCCCCACCCCGUCCUCAUUUAAUCCAGUUUCCCCCUUUCCAUGGAAAAUCAGAUAACUUUUUUCUUAAAGCCCUAUUGCUAGCACCCAUUUGUGGCAUUUUCUGACCAACCCAUAGGCAAUAUUGAGCGCCGGUCUGGAAGCCAGAUGGCAACUCCCCGAAAAGCAGUGGCAGCAAAACAUAGCCAUUGUGUCUAGUUGCCAUUGACAGGGAAGUCAUGUUGUUGUUGAGUCGUUUAGUUGUGUCCGACUUUUCGGGGCCCCCUGGGCCAGAGCAUGCCAGGCACUCCUGUCUUCCACUGCCUCCCGCAGUUUGGUCAAACUCAUGCUGGUAGUUUCGAGAACACUAUCCAACCAUCUCAUCCUCUGUCGUCCCCUUCUCCUUGUGCCCUCCAUCUUUCCCAACAUCAGGGUCUUUUCCAGGGAGUCUGCUCUUCUCAUGAGGUGGCCAAAGUCUUGGAGCCUCAGCUUCAGGAUCUGUCCUUCCAGUGAGCACUCAGGGCUGAUUUCCUUCAGAAUGGAUCGGUUUGAUCUUCUUGCAGUCCAUGGGACUCUCAAGAGUCUCCUCCACCACCAGAAUUCAAAAGCAUCAAUUCUUUGGCGAUCAGCCUUCUUUAUGGUCCAGCUCUCACUUCCAUACAUCACUACUGGGGAAACCAUAGCUGUGUCCUGUUUUGGGCUCCACAAUUUAAGAAGGGUGUUGACAAGCUGGAAGGUGUGCAGAGGAGGGCGAACAAGAUAAUCAAGGCUCUGGAAACUAAGCCUGAUGAGGAACGGUUGAAGGAGCUGGGCAUGUUUAGCCUGGAAAAGAGGAGACUGAGAGGAGAUACGAUUGCCACCUUCAAAUAUCUCAAAGGUUGCCUCAUGGGAGAGGGAGCAAGCUUGUUUUCUCCUGCUCUGGGGGGUAGGACUCGAACCCAUGGCUUCAAGUUACAAGAAAGGGGAUUCUGACUAAACAUGCAGAAAAACUUUCUGGCGCUACACUUCUAUGAUUGUACGAUAGCUUCAGACGCCUGUCACACUCCAGUGAUCUGCAAACGCUCCUUCUACCUGUUUUCACCCCCACGCAGGCAGUUACCUUUUCCUGAAUGCCUUGUUUGGAGCCAUAUUGGGAAACAGCUUUUUUUUUCAUGUCCAGCAUCAGCAGAGACAUAAAAUACGUGAUUCCGGCUAAUGGCUGCUAUUACAGGCAAUGGCAAGAAGGCAGCCUUUCCUUUAUUCCUUCCCAUUCAUAUUUGCACCCACCUGGCCGCCAAAGCCCCUUCCUUGCCUCUCUGCACACGCCUGGUUUGCGUCAGCUAAUUUGCCCCCAUCGGGUGCAAAUUAUGCCAUUGACUCUUGCACGGGGGCAAAGCGAGCGGCCGGCUGUCACAAGAAAAGCUUAUAACCCUGUGGGCUGUUUCUCUGGGCAGCCGUUCAAGCCACGGCUUUCUUCUUCUUGCUCAGAAACAGCUUCUGGUUUCUGGACCCGAUUUCCCAGGAAGUGUAACUGUUUUCUCAUCACUCCCCCCUGCUUAUCUUAAUCUUUAAAAUGUCUAAUAAUAAAGGCUUAUAAAUAAACAUAGAGAAUCGGAGCUAUAAAUAUGAGCAGGUGAUGAGAGGGGCGGGAGAAGAAGGUUAUGUUAAUGGGAAAGAAUUAAUCAUUAUCAUUAUUUUCCCCCUUUUUCGUAAAAAGAGCCAAUGUUUCUAUAAAUUUGGACCUCCUUGUCAGUCAGUUGGUGACUUUCUUUGGUAGGGUAGUUCAUCAGAACAGUUUUGCAGGUUUUCACUAAGCCCCCCACAUUAAAAGGCUGAUUAAAGAAAUUAAGGAUCUCUGAAAAUGGAGCUUCCACAUUCAUAAGCAGUCUACCUCUAAAUAUGAGCUGCUAGGAAUAUGAGCUAUUGUGUUCAUGCCCGCCUUGUGGGUUUGCUUGAGGCAUCUGAUUGGCCGCUGUUGGAAACGGCACGCUGCAAUAGGCCAACUGUGACCCUGCAGAGUUUUUAUGAAGUUCUUAGAUUACUGUAAAACACUCUGUGUGGAGCUGCCUUUGAAGCUGCAGCUGGUGACGAAUUCUCCUCUCUAGGCUCCUGUCUACAUCCCAAUCCCAAAGAAGGGCAGUGCCAAAGAAUGCUCCAACUACCGCACAAUUUCACACGCUAGCAAGGUUAUGCUUAAAAUUCUACAAGGCAGGCUCAAGCAGUAUGUGGACCGAGAACUCCCAGAAGUGCAAGCUGGAUUUAGAAGAGGCAGAGGAACCAGAGACCAAAUUGCAAACAUGCGCUGGAUUAUGGAGAAAGCUAGAGAGUUCCAGAAAGACAUCUACUUCUGCUUCAUUGACUAUGCAAAAGCCUUUGACUGUGUCGACCACAGCAAACUAUGGCAAGUUCUUAAAGAAAUGGGAGUGCCUGAUCACCUCAUCUGUCUCCUGAUAAAUCUCUAUGUGGGACAAGAAGCUACAGUUAGAACUGGAUAUGGAAUAACUGAUUGGUUCAAAAUUGGGAAAGGAGUACGGCAAGGCUGUAUAUUGUCUCCCUGCUUAUUUAACUUAUAUGCAGAAUUCAUCAUGCGAAAGGCUGGGCUGGAUGAAUCCCAAGCCGGAAUUAAGAUUGCCGGAAGAAAUAUCAACAACCUCAGAUAUGCAGAUGACACAACCUUGAUGGCAGAAAGUGAGGAGGAAUUAAAGAACCUUUUAAUAAGGGUGAAAGAGGAGAGCACAAAAUAUGGUCUGAAGCUCAACAUCAAAAAACAAAGAUCAUGGCCACUGGUCCCAUCACCUCCUGGCAAAUAGAAGGGGAAGAAAUGGAGGCAGUGAGAGAUUUUACUUUCUUGGGCUCCAUGAUCACUGCAGAUGGUGACAGCAGUCACGAAAUUAAAAGACGCCUGCUUCUUGGGAGAAAAUCAAUGACAAACCUAGACAGCAUCUUAAAAAGCAGAGACAUCACCUUGCCGACAAAGGUCCGUAUAGUUGGGACCGAGCAACGGGAGCUCACCCCUUCGCGGGGAUUCGAACCGCCGACCUUCUGAUCGGCAAGUCCUAGGCUCUGUGGUUUAACCCACAGCGCCACCCGCGUCCCUAUAAUGCACUUAAAACACACUUAAAAUGUUCUUAUUUGCAGCUGAUGGGAGCAUAUAACACUGAGUUCUAAAAGCACUGCAUGGGCUGUUCAGUAUGCAACCAAACCCUUUUCUGAGGUCUUAGUCUUGGGAUAACAAAGACCUAAGCAACUUGGGGCCUGGUUACCUUAGAAACCUGCAAGGAAGGAGAAUCCACUACCUCCCGAGUGUCGCCAGAAUGGGAGACAAAAGGGCUCCUUGGAGAAAGUUAUUGCCGGACAAAAUCCUUCUUUUAAAGACACCACUUUAUUUAUUUAUUUAUUUAUUUAUUUAUUUACCGCCCUUCCUUCAAAGAUCACAGGGCGGCUCACAACACAGAAAUUCUCCAAAAUUCUGAGAUUCUAAAACACCUUCAGGCAAGCUCGUCGAGUUUCUCAUUUGUAAAUCUUACUGUGAACAACAUAGUCCAUGGGUAGGCAAACUAAGGCCCGGGGGCCGGAUCCAGUGCAAUCGCCUUCUCAAUCCUGCCCGAAGACGGUCCGGGAAUCAGCAUUUUACAUGAGUAGAAUGUGUCCUUUUAUUUAAAAUGCAUCUCUGGGUUGUUUGUGGGGCAUAAGAAUUCAUUCAUCCUCCCCCCCAAAAAAUAUAGUCCGGCCCUCCACAAGGUCUGAGGGACAGUAGACCGGCCCCCUGCUGAAAUAGUUUGUUGACCCCUCACAUAGUCAUUUACAUUGCAGAAAGACCCCUCUUCCACCUUCCCUUAAUUGUGUGAGAAAGCGCUUAAAGUUUCUGGACUGUGGACUGGCGUCUACCUGGGCUCUACCACUUUAGAGUAUCGGGGGGGGGACAGGAAUGCAGGUGGCGCUGUGGUCUAAACCACUGAGCCUCUUGGGCUUGCCGAUCGGAAGGUCGGCGGUUCAAAUCCCCACAAUGGGGAGAGCUCCUGUGGCUCUGUCCCAGCUCCUGCCAACCUAGCAGUUUGAAAGCACACCAGUGCAAGUAGAUAAAUAGGUACCACUCAGGCGGGAAGGUAAACGGCAUUUCCAUGCACUCUGGCUCUUGUCACAGUGUUCCUUUGCGCCAGAAGCGGUUUAGUUAUGUUGGCCACAUGACCCAGAAAGCUGUCUGUGGACAAACGCUGGCUCCUUCAGCCUGAAAGUGAGAUGAGCGCCACAACCCCAUAGUCGUCUUUGACUGGCCUUAACCUUCCAAGAAUUGACGCUUUUGAAUUAUGGUGCUGGAGGAGACUCUUGAGAGUCCCAUGGAUUGCAAGAAGAUCAAACCUCUCCAUUCUGAAGGCAAUCAGCCCUGAGUGCUCACUGGAAGGACAGAUCCUGAAGCGGAGGCUCCAAGACUUUGGCCACCUCAGGAGAAGAGAAGACUCCCUGGAAAAGACCCUGAUGCUGGGAAAGAUGGAGGGCACAAGGAGAAGGGGACGACAGAGGACGAGAUGGUUGGACAGUGUUCUCGAAGCUACCAGCAUGAGUUUGACCAAACUGCGGGAGGCAGUGGAAGACAGGAGGGCCUGGCGUCCUCUGGUCCAGGGGGUUACGAAGAGUUGGACAUGACUAAACAACAACAAACCUUCCAAGGGUCCUUUACCUUUACCUUCCCAGAGAGGAGUGCAACACUAUAAGUAGCAGGGCCUUUUCUGUAGCUGCACCCACACCCAUCCAAGAGAGCUCUGCCCCGCCCUGACAUUGCCCUCCUUCCUCUAUUUGACUUGAACUUAGCUGGACGUUCCCCCCCACUUUGGUACGCGUUUAAUAUCCACUCCACGAUAUCAGAAAAAGCGAGUUCUUUUGGGAGAGGCGUAACUCUUACGGGUCUUGAUUCCCUUCCAGCGCUGCAACUUCAUAAUUCAAGGUUUAGAGGUGGCUGUGGCAGGCUUUCGAAGACAGCUCAUCGUGGCUGUGUAAUUAAAGACUAUUGUGCAAUUAAAUGAUUGGUUAAUCACUUCGCAGAUCAGAUGAGCUUCGGAGGGAAGGAGAUGAAGCACAGAGCUGCCGUCUGGAACAACGUCGGUUUUGCAGAGGGAGCCGACAGAGGAAGAGGCAACGAUACUUCAGCUAUGAUGAGCCAAUUAUCUGCAUCAUCAUUUUCCAGAUCGGGGAGGGGGGGGGCUUCUGGGACCCCCUGAGCCAGCUUGUGGCUGGUUGAUCUCCAGCGAGGUGGCAGGAUCCAAGCAGAUCCCCUGGAGAGGCUGGGAAGAGACACAGUUCGCAUUAACGCUGCCUAAUGAACCUGUCAUUUCAUGGAAAACUGGCCAGGAAAUAUUGCAAUGUAUAGGACAAAGCCAAAGAGAAUGAGCAUAUAAAAACAUCGAGACCUGCGACAAAAAGUUGCAGCAUAUCCUUAGCGUUCCAGUCACCUGUGGCCUCCUCCAGGAUACAUGUAGGGAGCUCAGGUAGAGCGUCCCACUGCCUCACACCCCAUUUUCUCAUUUUCCCUAUUACAGUGAUGCAGAUAUACAAAGCCCUAAACAACUUGGCUUCAGGUCCAGUUGAGCCUUUACAUCCCAGCUUAGAAACAUAGAAUCGUGGCAUUGCAAGGCAACCCCAAGGAUCAUCUAGUCCAACCCCCUGCAAUGCAGGCAGCUUCAUACGUCUACAUCAGGCGUGGGGAACCUUUGGCAUUUAUUUUAUUUUCAGAGCAUAAUAACCUAAGGAGAGCCGGCUGCAUCAGGUCAAGGGCUGAUAUAUUCCUGCAUCAUUAUCAUCAUCAUCACCAUCCCUUUAUUGUCAUUGUACAACCUGUGUACAAUGAAAUUAAACGAGUGUGAUGGCCUGGGAUUCGGACUCGGAUGCUGAACCUGAGGGAUCCCAGCCUGCACAGGAGUCCCCGCCUCCAGAACCAGCUGAGCCGGGGCUGGGGCCUGAGCCUGAAGGGUCCUCACCUGUGCUGGAUCCUCAGGUGCAGGCAUCAGCUGAGUCUGCUCUGGCUCCUGAGGUGAUGGAGGACCCGUUGCCUGCAGGUGCUCCACUCUCAGCCCCGUCAGAGGAAGCUGAGGUCGCCUCUGGUCCGGUAACCCUCCAGCGCUCCUGAGCUGCAGAGGCUCAGGGCAGAGAGGCGGAGGGAACUAAGUUCCCGCAGGAGGAGGGCUCGCCUCCAGGCCAGGAGAGGCGAGUCACCUGAGGAUCGGGCCGCCCUAUGCCUCAGGGCAGAUAAAAGCCGGCCAGCCCCAGUCCCAAGUUGCGGGAGCAACAUUGUUUGUUCCUAGUUCCUGCCUGCACCCUGUCCUGCUUUCCUGCCAGAGCUCCUGCCCCGCCCUGGCUCCCUGCUUGCAUGCCUGUUCCUGACUUCACCCGACUCCCUGCCCUG
rnacentral:lncRNA from 1 species